AAGUCGUAACAAGGUUUCCGUAGGUGAACCUGCGGAAGGAUCAUUAACGAAUAACUAUGGUGGGCUGUCGCUGCCUCUUCGGAGGAAUGUGCACGUCCACCAUUUUUAUCUAUCCACCUGUGCACCGACUGUAGGUCUGGAUAACUCUCGUCUUCACCUCGCAAGAGGCCGUUGACGGAUUGCGAGGAUUGCUCUCUCGGGCGCUCUCCUCGAAUUUCCAGGUCUACGUCUUUUACACACCCCAAAAGUAUGAUAUAGAAUGUAGUCAGUGGGCUUCUCAGCCUAUAAAACACUAUACAACUUUCAGCAACGGAUCUCUUGGCUCUC
rnacentral:misc_RNA from 1 species